GGAUGGAUGGCCGAGCGGUCUAAGGCGCUAGCUUCAGGUGGAUAUUGCUAGUUACGAAAGUAGCGUGGGUUCGAAUCCCACUCCAUUCA